GUAUUAACGGCGUCUUCUACAACAUGGCGACUGCAACUGAAGAAACCGCAGCAAAUUCUCAGAGCUCAGCAAUCUAACAGCUCACUUCCAGAACUGGAUCCAGAGUUCUUACAGUAAUGUUGAACCGCGGAAACAGAUCGAAGGCAUGGAAUGGGCCUCAAAACCGUUUGGCUGGACUUGUGGUAGUGUCUCUUACAGUGUUUCUUCUCAUUUUCAUAUUGUCAGUUGGCAACAAUGAUCAAAUGCCCAGUUCAUUACUUGAACUUCCAAAGGAAAAGUGGCAUAGCUUUAAGUCACUGGUGCAACUUUCACCAACCUUAGAGUUUCGAAAUGGAACUGAUGUAAUAUGGCAAAUACCAGAUUCGCCUAAAGCAGUUCUUUUUCUUGCUCAUGGUUGCAAUGGUAGAGCUGCUCACUUUUGGGAUAAGUCUACUCACUGUCCUAACUGCAUUGGUUUGCCAGAAGAAAGACUAAUUGCUCUUCAUGCACUUGCUCGAAAGUUUGCUGUCCUUACUAUAUCAAGUGCAGGGAUAUGCUGGACUCUUGGGGAAGAGAUAAUUAUUGUUAAAGAUAUUAUCAAAUGGUGGGUUAAGAAGAACAAGCUUGAAAAGCUUCCUCUUGUUGCUAUGGGGGCCUCUUCCGGGGGAUACUUUGUUUCUGUGCUUGCCACUGUGUUGAAGUUCACUAGUAUUACAAUUAUGAUUGCUGAAGGGAAGUUUGAUAAAAUGGAUAUAAAAGAGAGCUAUCCCCCUACCCUUUUCAUGCACAUGCCGAAGGAUAUAUUAAGGAAGCAAAAGAUAGAUGAGUAUAUGGAAAUUUUAAGAAAUAAAGGGGUUGAGGUUGCAGAGAUUGAAUGCAAGGAGUUCCCCUUGUCGCCACAUCUCUUAGCUGAUAGAAUCCCAGGUCUUGAUCUGUCUGUUUCUGCUAAGCUAUUUGAACUCUUCCGGCACAAGGGUUUUAUCGAUGAGAAUGGAUAUAUGAAGAAUGAUGGGCGUAGAACACGUUGGAAAGAAGCUGUCAGAGAGAGUAAAAUUAUUUUCCCAGACAAGCAUCUGGCCCAUUACAUUCAGGAGGAGUUAAAUCUGGCAUUUGCAUACCAUGAAAUGACUAGCUUGCACUCUGACAGGAUGUUUAUAUGGUUUGAAUCUCAUAUGAGGUAACUGCUUCUCAAAUUCUCCCUUCCUCUGCCUUGACCAGUUUGGUGGAUCCAGCCCAGAAUCUGAAGUAAUUUAAAUGUAUUUCACUCUCCAUUUUGAGGGAAUGGAUUUGAAAAACACAUAUAGAAUUGUUCUUUUGCAUCAUUUAGAAAUCAAUUGGCUCUCCUUAAAGAAAAAGCUGUAUUGAGCUGGCUGAAGUACUAGAUAAGCUUGAAGGGUGCAUGCUCAAGAGUAUAUGAUGGAUGUAAAUCAGAUGUUAGGAUUUUUCUACGGAGCGAAUUCAUAUUGUAUGCGAACACAAUUGUGGUCAUUAGAUUGACAGAUUCAACCAUCUCAAGUACUGAAGAUGCAUACUUUCACAUAAAUUUUCUCAUCCCGUCCAAAAAAGUUGUUUGAAUUAUAAUUACCAUUAUUUCUCAAUUAUUAUUUUUCAAUCUCACUAAUUUCUCAAAAAAGUUGUUUAAAUAUUUUUCCUAUAUUUAAUAUUUGUUGGUUAGGUUGGUAUCCAUUUAUUAUUAUGUUUAAUGCUUGAUUGUACUAUUAAGUACAUUUAAGAAACUGGGCUGUGUUUUCCUGAUUGAGUUUGUCUGGGGCAUGCCUUUAACUCAAUUUCAAUUAUCUACCACAUUGUCUUUGUCAUUCGCCUAGCUCAUGAAAGUUUGUUUUUGUGUGUAUAAUGUCUGUCCUUGUGUUUGCAUUUUUCAACUGAUUUACAAUGUAGAGAUAGUCAAUAUUGAAGAUUUAAGACGGUGGGCCUUGUAUUUUUUGCUUUUCUGCAACAUGCAACUGCCAUGCUAGAAAAUUUAAUGCACUCGAUUUACAAGACCAGUGGCACAAACUGACCUUUUAUUAUAAUAACUUUGCACCAUGCGAUCAUGCAAUAUGACCUGUAAAGAUAGUACAGUGGUUUUAAUUUUUAUGUUACUU